AGUUCUGCAACGGUUUUUUUCUUUCCAAACACAGAGAGAGGACUUUAUGCAAAUAAGUACGACGAUUUAUUUAUUUAUUUCCCCCCCAAUUUUUUUUUAUUAGUUUUCCAAAUUUAUAACAAACAAAUAAAAAGAAAACAUCAACAAACAAACAUUUAUCCUAACUGUAAUAAUUCCACUUUUGUUAACAUUGUUGGGUGACUUCCUCCAGUCCCCCUGGCUGAGUUCCCAUAUAAAUCAUUGUAGCAGUUUUCCAAAACUAUUUUCACAUAAAAUUUACUUGGUCAAUUAACAUCUUUCUUUUCUUUUCUUUUUUUUAAGUCCUAGGCCAAUCUGAUACUCGCAAGUAAUUCUAUUUAUUUUUUUCCAAUUUUUUUUAAUUGGUUUUAACAAUAUUAUAAACAAACAAACAAACACAUAUGACAAACAAACAUAAAUUAUAGCCUUAUUGAAAAUUACACUUAUUAACUUUGUUAAGUGACUUCCCCGCUUCCCCUUGGUUGAAUUUCAUUGCAUAUCCUUUUAACGGUUUCCCAAGUCACAAUUCUUAUAAAAUUUAACUUAAACAUUAACAUCCUUAAAUCUUCACUUUAUGAAAUUAAACAUAUUAAUUCAUCACUUAACAUAAAUAAAAUCCUAAGCCAAUUAAGUAUCUGCAAGCUUUUUUCAGUUAGUUUAAUUUAACAUAUUUAACUAAAUAAUCAUUAAAUUUAAUCCACUCUUCCUGAUACUCCUCCUCCUUCUGAUCAUGGACUCUUCCGGUUAGGUCGGCUAGCUCCGAAAAGUCCAUCAUCUUCAUCUGCCAUUCUUCUAUCGUUGGUAAUUCUUGGGUUUUCCACUUUUUAGCUAACAAAAUAAGAGCAGCAGUUGUGGCAUACAAAAAUAAUUUAACAUCUUUUUUGGGCAAGCAAGUAAUUCUAGUUAAGUUAUCUUAACAUAUUUAGCUAAAUAGUCUUUAAAUUUCUUCCAUUCCUCUUGGUACUCCUCCUUCUUCUGGUUGCGGACUCUUCCGGUCAGGUCGGCUAGCUCCCAAAAGUCUAUCAUCUUCAUCUGCCAUUCCUCCACUGUUGGUAUUUCUUGUAAUUUCCAAUUUUUGGCCAAGAUUUUUUGAUUUUUUAAAAACGGGCUCCUUUUUAAGCUGCUCCUUCACUGUCUAAGGCUGGGGUCACCUUGAGAUGGGGCCAUGUCCCAGGGCACAGACCUCAGUGGGGCACAGUUUUAUACAAAUUCACAAUAUUAUUCAAAAUGAUGCGUGUGCUAAAACAUUUUCUUUUGCAGUUGAGAAAGAGAACCAAAGGUUGUUGCCCAGGCAACAACGCCCUGUUUGUGCGGGUGUCAUUGUGCAAUGGUCAUUGCGGUCACACUUAAGUCUGUUCCAUCACCUUCCAGAGCCAAAAGUAGUACGCAUGUCGGUCACAUGUCAAUUGGAUGGACGCAAAAUGUAUAACUUAUUCUUUCAAUUUAAAAUAUAUUGAGCAGUUUCACGUUUUGCGCUUUUCAUUCCCCCCCACAUCUGUUUUUGAAAACCGAAGUUAGCAAGUUGGUGGAAGUAGAGGUGCAAGUCAUUAGCUUUGCCUAGGGUGCAAAAUGGAGGGACGCGGGUGGCGCUGUGGGUUAAAGCACAGAGCCUAGGACUUGCCGAUCAGAAGGUCGGCGGUUCGAAUCCCCGCAACGGGGUGAGCUCCCGUUGCCUGGUCCCUGCUCCUGCCAACCUAGCAGUUCGAAAGCACGUCCAAGUGCAAGUAGAUAACAUAGGUACCGCUCCGGCGGGAAGGUAAAUGACGUUUCCGUGCGCUGCUCUGGUUCGCCAGAAGCGGCUUAGUCAUGCUGGUCACGUGACCCGGAAGCUGAACACCGGCUCCCUCGGCCAAUAAAGUGAAAUGAGCGCUGCAACCCCAGAGUCGGCCACGACUGGACUUAAUGGCCCUUUACCUUUACCUUUAGGGUGAAAAAUAACUUGGCACCAUCAUUUCUCAUACCUCUGUCUGGCCCUUGGGACAUUUCUCCAAGGCCACAUCUCUCAUCAGUCCUGCUUUGUACCCUCCUAGAAUACUUGCCCAGCCGAAAUGUGUCCUUGAACUCGGACCACCUUGGCUGUUAGGCCUGGAACACCUGCUCUCUGCCUUGCAAGCCUUUUCCACCUGGCCUGGGAUGGCAGUGCCAUGACUGACUUCAGCUACAAAAACUGAGGCUGCUGAAGAGGCCACAGACCAUCUUGGCUGUCUCUUAGCACCAACCCAGGUCAUUGAGCCUGAGCUUCCACAGCCGCUUGUUUGCCAUGAACCACCAUUGGCAGGAUUGGCAGCAACAACAGCUGAUAUGAUCGCAUUUUUAAUAUCAUCAUCAUCAAACCUUUAUUGGCAUCACAUUCAAACAUUCAGAAUAAAUAGGCCAGUGUGAUCUCGUCGCCAUUUCAACAGUACUUACCUGGCAGGGGAGAAUAUUUUUAAUAUUCUGUUGGGAGCUGCCCAGAGUGCCUGGGGAAAUCCAGCCAGAUGGGCGGGAUAUCAAUAAAUUAUUAUUAUUAUUAGCUUAUGAUAAUAUUUGAUUCUCUUGUUAAUUGUGCUGUUUUAAAUGUGCAUUUUACAUCUGACAUCCUUCAGUAAUAUUUUAUUUUGAAAUGUUCUUUAUAUAUGCUAAUGCAACCAGUGAAGAGAGUCCCCAACAAAAGAGAUUUUACUUCUCAUUACAUUUCUAAAAUGUGGUGCAAGCACACUUGCAGUUAGAAAUAUGUGGCACUUAAACCCAUUAUCCUUUUUUGUGGAAGAUACUGUUUCAACCUCAAAGUUUUCAGGAGUACAAAAAACUUUACAAAAACAAACACUAACUGGAGAAAAACAGCCCAGUAAGCAUGCUCAGAACACGAAGUAUUCAUUGGAAAAUAAAACAUAUUGUUGCACAUCUUAUUUGUUCUGCUGCUUUUCUGUUGCACCUCCACGCAUUUGUGUCCUUUGGGAUGGCUGUGUUCUGUCAGUGUAAGCAUAAUGUUUUGUAUUGCUGGUGAAAGGUGAUUUAAUAGCGAUCCUUUCCUCAUCUAGGUGGCAUGAGGUGGGUAGGAUCACACUGUUACUUUUUAAUGUGAAAUAUACUUUUGUUAUCUAGCAAAUAUUCUAUUGACUUCUAAAUAUAAAAUGAACUCUGAUCACCACAAGAUGGUGCUGCACAUUCUAGCUUGAAUAAUAAAUUUACUAUAUCCUAUAUUUUACCAUCUGAUUAUUAAAUUUAACCGUAACGUUUUCAGUGAUAGUAUAUAUACCAGCAAACUCUUUCUUUUGACAUUUGUUAAGAAACUGAUUAGGCAGCACAACUGUAAAUUAUUUUUUUUAAAUAAUAUUUAUUACUUUUAUAGAUUACAAAGAGAGAGAAAAAAGCAAACAAGAAAAAAACGGAAGAAAAAACAAAGGAGAAAAACAAAAAGAGAAAAACAAUACAAUACAAUAUAUAAACAAUACAAAACACAACCUAAACUCAGAACUAAACACAUUAGACUAAACUAAACAAACCCCACUCCCUAACCUUAACCCUGAAUAG